AUACAGGGCUAAUGUCUUGUAAUUGGAAUGAUGGUGACCCAAACCCUCACCAGAGUAGCAAUUGGAGGGCAAGUCUGGUGCCAGCAGCCGCGGUAAUUCCAGCUCCAAUAGCGUAUAUUAAACUUGUUGCAGUUAAAAAGCUCGUAGUUGAACUUUAGCGUGUUCGAGUUUGCCAUUCGUUUGGCCUUUUCGAGUUCGCUUUUGGGUUUUCCCUUUUUACUUUGAGAAAAUUAGAGUGUUUCAAGCAGACUUUUGUCUUGAAUACUUCAGCAUGGAAUAAUAGAGUAGGACUUUGGUUCUAUUUUGUUGGUUAUUGAACCUUAGUAAUGGUUAAUAGGAACGGUUGGGGGCAUUCGUA
rnacentral:rRNA from 1 species